rnacentral:rRNA from 1 species
CGCUUCCGGAGGAGCCUGCGUCCGAUUAGCUAGUAGGUGGGGUAAAGGCUUACCUAGGCGACGAUCAGUAGCUGGUCUGAGAGGAUGAUCAGCCACACUGGGACUGAGACACGGCCCAGACUCCUACGGGAGGCAGCAGUGGGGAAUUUUCCGCAAUGGGCGAAAGCCUGACGGAGCAAUACCGCGUGAGGGAGGAAGGCUCUUGGGUCGUAAACCUCUUUUCUCAGGGAAGAAACAAAUGACGGUACCUGAGGAAUCAGCAUCGGCUAACUCCGUGCCAGCAGCCGCGGUAAU